UUUUUUUUUUUGCUGGCAUUUCUCUGAUCUUUCUCCACUCCUAUCUCCUUCUCGCUCCAAGCAGGAUUCGCUUCUCCCUUGGUCCACGCUACCAGUACAGUCUCAUUCUCACAGAAAGGAAAUGUGACAAACACUAACAUAAAAAGCCUCCCUCUAUGAGUUCCUCCCCGUUUUCCUACCUCCAUCCACAAAACAAAAGAAUAUUCCAUACAAAGCUCAUUCUGAGAGGACUCUAGAAAUAGUUUCCAGGGAACUCCUUGUUCCCAUGGAUGCUUGUGACAGUCAACAGCCCAACUCAAUCUCUCUUGUGUGUAUGAACGCAUGUAUGUAUGUGUUUGUAUAGGCAGAGAUACAUGUAUAACUGUAUUCCUUUAUAUCAAAUGUUGCACUGGCCAGCCUACUAGAAGAUACUCUCAAUUCACACCUAGGGCAGUGCCAAAGAACCUAAAAUGUACAUAGUAAGACAUGUAACUUCCUAGACUUAACGUUUUCAGUUCAAAAUAGUUCCAAUUGCUUUUGUUUUGUUUUUGUUUUUGUUGUUGUUUUUUGAGACAGAGUCUCGCUCUGUCUCCCAAGUUGGAGUGCAGUGGCGCAAUCUCAGCUCACUGCAAACUCUGUCUCCCAGGUUCAAGCAAUUCUCCUGCCUCAGUCUCCUGAGGAGCAGGGACUACAGGCACCCGCCACCAUGCCCGGCUAAUUUUGGAUUUUUAGUAGAGACAGGGUAUCACCAUGUUGGCCAGGUGGGCCUUGAACUCCUGAUCCUGUUAUCCACCCGCCCUGGCCUCCCAAAGUGCUAGGACUACAGGCGUGAGCCACUGCACCCAACCUUCCAAGUACUUUUCAACCUGUAAACUGCCUUACCCUUACAGAAGUCAUGUGUGUAUUUGGUUCUUUGGAAUCUGCCAUGACAUUUACCCUACACAUCAUACUUUAUACGAUUGCAGCACAUACUUUACACCUAUCUAAGACUCACUGAUUCAAGAGUUCACCAAAACUCUCUACCACUGGAGCUGGCCAAUGCACGACAGCCUUUUGUGGGUGAAUUUCUUUUGAAUUCAACUCCACUGUGUAGGCAUUCCUCCCUCUAAUCCCAUCUAUGGCCCACUUCCUGGAUCUCUCCAUCACCUCUUUCCUUUCACCCAUCAUGCUAGUCUUUCCUGUCCAGGAGACACAGGCGAGUAGCUGUGGGCCUCAGGAAGGGCUGCAUCCAAUGAGGUGCUGUGCUUCUGUUUGUGUUUUAGCACCAAACUCAUGUGCUGACAGAGCUCUGGAGUGUGAGGGACAAGUCCAUGUUCCAUUUGCUCCAUUCUUUUCUGCCAAGGGCUUCACUGCUCCUUGUCACCUGCCAUCUCCUCCAUGUUACAAAUAGGAUUUUCUCCUCCCUUCUGUCAAUCUCACAGGCUCUCACACUCAGGAAAUCUGAGUCCUUUAAGAAGCUGCUUACUAGGAACUAAGGGUGACAAAUACACGAACAGGAAGCAGCAGCUCUCCUGUGACCUGCUCCUUUCUAUAUGACUCCAUUAGAAAAGGAUGCAAUGUUACCUACAAAGGCUAUAACGAGAAGAAUUCGAAACCCUGUGAAAAACCACUCUCUGUGGCCAUGCAGGCUUCUCAGAAUAAACUCCACAAGUGUCCGUCCAUCUGUCUCCUUGUUGUGUGUUUCCAUUGUGUGCAUGGGUUCUUAGUGGAUGUGUGUUGAGAGAAGUGUGUAUGGAUGGACGCAUGGAUGGAUGGAUGAAUAUAUUUAUGUGCCAGUGUGUGUGAAAACGUCUACGCUCAGUUAUAAUUAGAUAAAGACACACGUGUGCAUAACUCACCUUUCAUUGAUAUGCGCCUCCAGGUUCGUGCCUGAUAAUUCAUUUGUGGGUGGACUGGAGGAUGAUAAAAGAGCACAGUCAGACAGGAGACACAAUUCCAAAUUCACUCUUCCGGUAAAACUCGCUUUCAUUACUCUGCACAUAAACCAGUUAAAUUCUGACUAUUCAUGUGUAUAGCACUAUUUGGUUCUGAAAUGUCAUUUUUUAUUAGAAAGGAGGAUUUAUACGAUGGCAAUCAACACCUUAGGCUAGGGAAAAUCAUAAUGCUUCCAGAUUUAAAUAAACUUCUUUGUUAUGUCCUCAGUCCCAGUGCCUGACAUCCUGUGUGGUGGCAGUUAUUUCAAACUAAACUUUUGUGUGGAGG
ensembl:lncRNA